UAGUCCACGCCGUAAACGAUGGAUACUAGCUGUCCGGUGCCUUGAGUACUGGGCGGCCAAGCGAAAGUGAUAAGUAUCCCACCUGGGGAGUACGUUCGCAAGAAUGAAACUCAAAGGAAUUGACGGGGGCCCGCACAAGCGGUGGAGCAUGUGGUUUAAUUCGAUGAUACGCGAGGAACCUUACCAGGGCUUAAAUGUAGUAUGACAGGUUUAGAGAUAGACUUUUCUUCGGACAUAUUACAAGGUGCUGCAUGGUUGUCGUCAGCUCGUGCCGUGAGGUGUCAGGUUAAGUCCUAUAACGAGCGCAACCCCUGCCGUUAGUUGCCAGCAUGUAAAGAUGGGGACUCUAACGGGACUGCCGGUGCAAACCGAGAGGAAGGUGGGGAUGACGUCAAAUCAUCACGGCCCUUACGUCCUGGGGCCACACACGUGCUACAAUGGCCGGUACAGAGAGCAGCCAUGUUGUAAAGCAGAGCGAAUCUACAAAG
rnacentral:rRNA from 1 species